CUUGCCAUCAGGCUGUCAGUGGAGUUCACAGCUCGUCACCUUCAACAGAAAGCAUGUUUUCUGGAGCUCUGCUGCUGCUGCUGCUGCUGGCAGCUGGAUGUGUGAAGUGUGAAACGCUGACUCAGCCAGCCUCUGUGACUGUGCAGCCAGGUCAGAGUCUGACCAUCACCUGUCAGGUCUCUUAUGCUCUCAGCAGCUACUGGACGGCCUGGAUCAGACAGCCUGCAGGGAGAGGACUGGAGUGGAUUGGGAUGAAAUACACUGGAGGCACUUACUACAAAGAUUCACUGAAGAACAAGUUCAGCAUCGACUUGGACUCCUCCAGAAACACAGUGACUCUAAACGGACAGAACAUGCAGCCUGGAGACUCUGCAGUGUAUUACUGUGCCAGAGAGCCACAGUGA